CAGAUUUGUGCUUUCUGCUGAAAGGAGAAAAAGACUUGGGGCUAAAAGCAAAUGCCUUAAGCUUCACCCAAAGACUGGGGAGAGAGCUGCUGGCAUGGAAGUGAGCUGGGUUUGUCCGUGGGAACUGUGAGUAAGGUUGCCAUCACGAAAGCCAAAGUGGAUUUCUCCGGGGUGGUGUGCCUGCCCCCUUCCGUCAUUGCUGGGAA